rnacentral:rRNA from 1 species
AUUGAACGCUGGCGGCAGGCCUAACACAUGCAAGUCGAGCGAGCGGCGGACGGGUGAGUAAUGUAUGGGGAUCUGCCCGAUAGAGGGGGAUAACUACUGGAAACGGUGGCUAAUACCGCAUACCAUCGGAUGUGCCCAGAUGGGAGUAGCUAGUAGGUGGGGUAACGGCUCACCUAGGCGACGAUCCCUAGCUGGUCUGAGAGGAUGACCAGCCACACUGGAACUUAGACACGGUCCAGACUCCUACGGGAGGCAGCAGUGGUGAAUAUUGCACAAUGGGCGCAAUCCUGAUGCAGCCAUGCCGCGUGUAUGAAGAAGGCCUUCGGGUUGUAAAGUACUUUCAGCGAGGAGGCGUUACUCGCAGAAGAAGCACCGGCUAACUCCGUGCCAGCAGCCGCGGUAAUAC